CUUUAACUCCAUCGAAUAUAAGUGCGAAACUUUCAUCUUGUCUAGUCUAUGUAUGUGGAGUCCCACUAUUCUUUGUUCUUAGACACGGUAUAGAUAAAAUGAAGUCACAUUCACUCUCGUCCAGUGGCGGUGGCGUGAUAUUGGACAUGGCAUGACUCUACUUUGUAGCUAUUUUCAUUCAUCCCGUUCAACUAUCUGAGCUGUGCCUUGGUGCCACCAUGGAGGAAUAUUCUUCAAUGCUAAGUAUACUUAGUAUCAAAGUGAUGGUAUGGUUUGCAAAUAAUCAUACUCCUUUAGUAUGUUGUCAAUGAAUGGUGCCAUUUCAAAAUCUAAAUAUAUAUGAAGAGUAUCAUCAGUUGUUGAAAGAUGUUAAUUAACUCCUUAAAUGGAUUGAAGUUUGGAAGAA